CGAAAACACUGUCAUCGUCGUCGUAUCGCACUGUUAAUAACUAUGAUAAUAUUAUGGUUUUGCUUAUUUUUCCCUCCGUCAACUUUAGUGUACGUACCCUGCACAGUGAUAUAAAUUCAAACAUGUCCACUGUUUUUCAACAUUUUUUAUUUUUUGUUCAUUAAAAAGAGAAAAUUAUGUUUUUUUUUUUUUUAAUAUUUAACAUUGUUACAUAGUAAAAUAAUUAUUACUUGGUUAAGAAUAAUAAUAUUGUGUAACCCAUCAGAUCGUGUUAUAU